GCCCUGGAUCAAGGGGAAAGAAUAGACCAUAAGGCUCCAAAUAUUCAUUAAGCUCCAUCCACCCAAUUCCAGGCUCAACAACUACAUCCAUGUCCUCAAUGUGCAGAGCUUUAACACUCUUCAUUAGUGACAUGUCAAUGCAAACACCACCAUGAGGUGAUAAUGUGUGGCCCUCAAUUGAUGUAGCUCCACCAUAAGGUACUAUAGGGACC
rnacentral:misc_RNA from 1 species